CACUUGCUCAUGUAGGGUGUUUCCACCCUAGUAUUAUUUCUAACUUUCGUAGCAAGGUUAUACACUGUUGCCCAUUUUACAGAUGGGAGAAAGAAAGGUUCCUAUUAAAGGGUCCAAGGUCACAUUGCUACAAAGUUGCUGAGCCAGAAUUCACUCUUUUGAACUUCACAGCCCAAACUCCUGCCUGGGGCCCAGAUGCAAGGCAAAGCAAAACCCCAAAACCCAAGGACGUGAAAUAACCAAGUGCUAUGAGAAUUCAGGGAGGAAGGACCGCAUCGUGCUGUGGGCAUCAGGACCAGUUCCAAAUAAGACGCCUGCUCUCACUGUAACCUGGUCCAUUUAACCCUGCACAGAGCCCAGUCUCUCUGCCUUCCAGCCCAAGAUAGUCCCGUACCUGGCAUAUCCCAGCCUCCCCAGGACACUGCAACUCUAUGCGUACAAGAUGUUUCAAAACUGGAGCCAUCACCCCCACAAUCUGUGGGAUGUUCAGAGGACCCGGCACCUGGGGAGGGGGGAGGAGACAGGCAAACUGCCAGGCCAAAUACCUUUCCUGAGGCCCCAUGGAGGAGAAACCAUCAGUCGGAAGGCAGGUCCCACUCAGGUAGGCAGCAUCAGAACUGGAGGGGCUGGGCCAGAUUCGGGACGAUAACAGGAAAGUCUGCAUGUAGCCACCAGCCCAGGCAGGGAUGCAUGUGCCUGAAGACUCAGGGCCCCCGAGAAUGGGUGCAGCCAUGCGGUUUGCCUUUCGUGGUCACAAGCUACCUGCCAGGUGGCAGGAGACUGCCGUGGGUGGUUGGCUGGUCUGGGAAGUGUAGUCCUUGCCCUGAGAGGGGCAGGAUGGCACCAGGGAGCCCAUGUGCUGCUCCUAGAAUGGGCACACUGGAACCCAGUGCCACUGGGCACAGAUUUCUUAUCUACAGCUUCCUGAGGUUGUUUUUGGCUGGGACUCCCACACCUCUCCGAUCCCGGCAUUCAUUGGCACUCAUUGCUAUGUGGAGUGACAGCCUCUGCUUCUGGCUCAGAUCUGGUUGAGCCUCCUAAAGAGGUGAUUUGGUGGGGGGGGCUAGGGGUCGAGGCCACCGUGUGUCACUCCUGUCGUGGCUUGAAUUUGCUGUACAUUUUGAGAAAGUCACCUGACCUGCUAUACCUUGGAUUCCCCUGGUUCCACUUAAACUCCUGGUUUACAAAGAACAAAGGUAGACAUAGCCAUUCUACCAAUCCUGACCGUGUUGAGGAAUGAGAAAACUAGUCUCUCAAAGAUGGAAAAUGAAUUAUUCAGGACAGAAAGUGAAGCUGAGUCUGCUGAUUUUCACUGGUAGCUAUUAGCCCCUUCUUUAGAAACAGAAUCCUAAAUAUUGGGAUUCAUAAACUAAGCAGAAUAAAGAUGACAUUUAUCAACCUCCUUGUGGCCA
rnacentral:lncRNA from 12 species